rnacentral:rRNA from 1 species
CUGAAUUUAAGCAUAUUAGUCAGCGGAGGAGAAGAAACUAACCAGGAUUCCCUCAGUAACGGCGAGUGAACAGGGAAGAGCCCAGCGCCGAAUCC